rnacentral:rRNA from 1 species
UACGCACUGGCCCACUGAUUGAUGGUGCUUGCACCUGAUUGACGAUGGAUCACCAGUGAGUGGCGGACGGGUGAGUAACACGUAGGUAACCUGCCCCGGAGCGGGGGAUAACAUUUGGAAACAGAUGCUAAUACCGCAUAACAACAAAAGCUGCAUGGCUUUUGUUUGAAAGAUGGCUUUGGCUAUCACUCUGGGAUGGACCUGCGGUGCAUUAGCUAGUUGGUAAGGUAACGGCUUACCAAGGCGAUGAUGCAUAGCCGAGUUGAGAGACUGAUCGGCCACAAUGGAACUGAGACACGGUCCAUACUCCUACGGGAGGCAGCAGUAGGGAAUCUUCCACAAUGGGCGCAAGCCUGAUGGAGCAACACCGCGUGAGUGAAGAAGGGUUUCGGCUCGUAAAGCUCUGUUGUUGGAGAAGAACGUGCGUGAGAGUAACUGUUCACGCAGUGACGGUAUCCAACCAGAAAGUCACGGCUAACUACGUGCCAGCAGCCGCGGUAAUACGUAGGUGGCAAGCGUUAUCCGGAUUUAUUGGGCGUAAAGCGAGCGCAGGCGGUUGCUUAGGUCUGAUGUGAAAGCCUUCGGCUUAACCGAAGAAGUGCAUCGGAAACCGGGCGACUUGAGUGCAGAAGAGGACAGUGGAACUCCAUGUGUAGCGGUGGAAUGCGUAGAUAUAUGGAAGAACACCAGUGGCGAAGACGGCUGUCUGGUCUGCAACUGACGCUGAGGCUCGAAAGCAUGGGUAGCGAACAGGAUUAGAUACCCUGGUAGUCCAUGCCGUAAACGAUGAGUGCUAGGUGUUGGAGGGUUUCCGCCCUUCA